rnacentral:lncRNA from 1 species
CUUACCCUAGGGUUCAAGUGCCCUUCUGGAACCCUGUGGUACUUGAGUCCCUAAGAACCUGCACGUUGGAAAGUCCAUUGCUCUGGGGAAUUGAAUCCGACUAUGGGCGAAUGGCCUGGACGCAUCACUGUUUGUUCUGCUUCGUCUCCAUUGGCACCAGGACAGACUGAGAUGUAGGUGUGGGUUUGUGUGGCUGCUAAAGGAACCAGCUGAACACCUCGGGGCUGGGGUGGAAUAGAGCAUGGGCAGUGGCCCGAGAGACUGAUAGGAAGCCUGUACAUGGAGCAUUGUUUUCUGACAAUCACUAGAUCACCCCAGUCAUCAGUAGUCAUUCUCUCCAGACACUGAGAUCUCUGUGGCCUCCUGUCUGCUCUUUGCUGUCAUUUCUCAAACCCACCAAAUCCUGUCACUGUGCCCCUCUAAUGGUGGCCAUUUCUCUGUUGCAUUUCUCUUAGCACAGAUUGGCACUUUAUCAUUCAUCCCUCAAUUUGGAAGCGAAUCCUCCUCUGUUGAUUUUCCCUCCACCCUACCACAGCUAUACUCUAGAAGACUCACACAUAGUUCCUGCUUACUGCCUUCAUCCCUGAAGACUUGUAAUGAGAGGAAUAAGGCCAUAGAGCUGAGUCACUGUGCCCGGAAGUAAGGGGCUCCCUCCGCUUGCCCGAGGUCAUCUCUUCCCAAGUCCUGGCAAAGCACUGGCUUGGGUGCCACCUGCUUCAGAGAAAGUCAGCCCUGUAGUCACUUUAGGAGCAGGUGGGAGGCUGUCCUGGGAGCCUGGUCCGUGCAUAGCCCUGGAGGCCUGCUGGGGAGAGCCAGUGCUGCCACACUCCUGGAGACCCAG